rnacentral:piRNA from 1 species
GCCAUCUAAACUGGCUUACAGAAC